rnacentral:sRNA from 1 species
GUGUAGCAGGAGGUGGUUGGGGCUGAGGAAAGUGGUGGAGGUGGGGCGGGGCUCAGAUGUGUAGCGGGAGGUGGUGGGGCCUGAGGAGGGCGGCGAGAGGUGGGGUGGGGCCCAGCAGCUGCUCCAAGCUUUUCUGCCAUUUGAAGCUUCUUCUGGGAGCCAGCUGUGACCAGAGGAAUAGCUCCAGCCAUCCGGAUAUACAGUCUUGCUACGUUGCCCAGGCUGGUCAUGAACUCCUGGACUCAAGCAAUUCUCCCACCUCAGCCUGUAAAGUACUGGAAUUGUAGGCAUGAGCCACUCUGCCUGGCCAAUAAUUUAACAACCGGAACAGCUCCAGUCUGCAGCUCCCAGCGUGAUCGACGCAGAAGACAGGUGAUUUCUGCAUUUCUGACUGAGGUACCUGAUUCAUCUCACUGGGACUGGUUUGACAGUGGGUGCAGCCCACAGAGGGGGAGCUGAAGCAGGGCAGGGUGUCACCUCACCCUGGAAGUGCAAGGGGUCAGGGGAUUUCCCUUUCCUAGCCAAGGGAAGCCGUGACAGACUACCUGGAAAAAUGGGACACUCCUGCCCAAAUACUGCACUUUUCCCAAGAUCUUAGCCACCGGCAGACAAGGAGAUUCUCUCCCGUGCCUGGCUCGGCGGGUUCCACACCCACGGAGCCUUGCUCACUGCUAGUGCAGCAGUCUGAGAUCGAACUGCGAGGCGGCAGCCUGGCUGGGGGAGGGGCGUCCGCUGUUGCUGAGGCUUGAGUAGGUAAACAAACCAGCUGGGAAGUUCGAACUGGGCAGAGCCCACUGCAGCUCAGUAAGGCCUACUGCCUCUAGACUCCAUCUCUGUGGCCAGGGCAUAGCUGAACAAAAGGCAGCAGACAACUUUUGCAGACUUAAAGGUCCCUGUCUGACAGCUCUGAAGAGAGCAUUGGUUCUCUCAGCAUGGUGUUUGAGCUCUGAGAACGGACAGACUGCCUCCUCAAGUGGGUCCCUGACCCCCAUGUAGCCUAACUAGGAGAUACCUCCCAGGAGGGGCCGACAGACACCUCAUAUAGGCACCUGCCUCUCUGGGACGAAGCUUCCAGAGGAAGGAUCAGGAAGUAGUAUUUGCUGUUCUGCAAUAUUUGCUGUUCUGCAGCCUCUGCUGGUGAUACCCACGAAAACAGGGUCUGGGGUGGACCUCCAGCAAACUCCAACCGACCUGCAGCUGAGGUACCUGACAGUUAGAAGGAAAACUGAAAAACAGAAAGGAAUAGCAUCAACAUCACCAAAAAGGUCAUCUACACCAAAACCCCAUCUGUAGGUCACCAACAUCAAAGACCAAAGGUAGAUAAAACCACAAAGAUGGGGAGAAACCAGAGCAGAAAAGCUGAAAAUUCUAAAAAUCAGAGUGCCUCUUCUCCUCCAAAGGAUCAAACUCCUCGCCAGCAAAGAAACAAGGCUGGAUGGAGAAUGACUUUGACGAGUUGACAGAAGUAGGCUUCAGAAGGUUGGUAAAAACAAACUUCUCCAAGCUAAAGGAGGAUGUUUGAACCCAUCGCAAGGAAGUAAAACCCUUGAAAAAAGAUUAGACGAAUGGCUAACUGGAAUAAACAGUGUAGAGAAUGCCUUAAAUGACCUGAUGGAGCUGAAAACCAUGGCACAAGAACUUCGUGACGCAUGCACAACCUUCAAUAGCCGAUUCGAUCAAGUGGAAGAAAGGGUAUCAGUGAUUGAAGAUCAAAUUAAUGAAAUAAAGCAAUAAGACAAGGUUACAGAAAAAAGAGUAAAAAGACAUGAACAAAGCCUCCAAGACAAAUGGGACUAUGUGAAAAGACCAAAUCUAUGUUUGAUUGGUGUACCUGAAAGUGAUGGGGAGAAUGGAACCAACUUGGAAAACACUCUUCAGGAUAUUAUCCAGGAGAACUUCCCCAACCUAGCAAGGCAGGCCAACAUUCAAAUUCAGAAAAUACAGAGAACACCACAAAGAUACUCCUUGAGAAGAGCAACCCCAAGACACAUAAUUGUCAGAUUCACCAAGGUUGAAAUGAAGGAAAAAGUGUUAAGGGCAGCCAAAGAGAAAGGUUGAGUUACCCACAAAGGGACGCCCAUCAGACUAACAGCGGAUCUCUCUGCAGAAACCCUACAAGAAGAGAGUGGGGGCCAAUAUUCAACAUUCUUAAAGAAUUUUCAACCCAGAAUUUCAUAUCUAGCCAAACUAAGCUUCAUAAGUAAAGGAAAAAUAAAAUCCUUUACAGACAAGCAAAUGCUGAGAGAUUUUGUCACCACCAGGCCUGCCUUACGAGAGCUCCUAAAGGAAGCACUAAACAUGGAAAGGAACAACUGGUACCAGCCACUGCAAAAACAUGCCAAAUUGUAAAGACCAUCGAUGCUAUGAAGAAACUGCAUGAAUUAAUGGGCAAAAUAACCAGUGAACAUCAUAAUGACAGGAUCAAAUUCACACAUAACGAUAUUAACCUUAAAUGUAAAUGGGCUAAAUGCCCCAAUUAAAAGACACAGACUGGCAAAUUGGAUAAAGAGUCAAGACCCAUCAAUGUGCUGUAUUCAGGAGACCCAGCUCAUGUGCAAAGACACACAUAGACUAAAAUAAAGGGAUGGAGGAAGAUAUACCAAGCAAAUGGAAAGCA